rnacentral:rRNA from 1 species
UACGUAGGAGGCGAGCGUUGUCCGGAAUUACUGGGUGUAAAGCGCGCGUAGGUGGGAGGCCAAGUCUGUGGUGAAAGCGCCCGGCUCAACUGGGCAUGGUCCAUGGAAACUGGUCACCUGGAGGACGGUAGAGGCGAGUGGAAUUCCCGGUGUAGUGGUGAAAUGCGUAGAGAUCGGGAGGAACACCAGUGGCGAAGGCGGCUCGCUGGGCCGGUCCUGACACUGAGGCGCGAAGGCGUGGGGAGCGAACGGAGUAGAAUCC